UACGAAGGGGGCUAGCGUUGCUCGGAAUCACUUGGGCGUAAAGGGUGCGUAGGUGGUCGGGUAAGUCUCAUGUGAAAUCCCCGCAGCUUAACUGCGGAACGGCAUGGGAUACUAUUCGGCUCGAGGAUUGGAGGGGGACUGGAAUUCCCGGUGUAGCAGUGAAAUGCGUAGAUAUCGGGAGGAACACCAGUGGCGAAGGCGAGUCCCUGGACAAUUCCUGACGCUGAGGCACGAAAGCCAGGGGAGACAAACAGG
rnacentral:rRNA from 1 species